UCUCAUCCGAAUGGAGAUUAAACAACUGAUAAAGAUGAAAAUGUCCAAUGGAAAUCUUACAAAUCUCCAUUCAAAUAAGAUAACUGCCGAGAAUAACGCGCAACACCCUUUACUUCUAGAAUGAUCAGGAUUAAUUUGUUGACUCUUAAGAAUUGAGUUAAAUUGUUUUUUUAUGAGAUUACGCUCUAGGUUAGUUGUCUCAUUAGCUUUUCUCGGACAAGUAUUUCUCGAAAUCACUUAAACGAAUAAGUAUCUAUGGGUCUCGUACCAAUUUAAGGAGCCGAUGCCGAUUUAAUUUAAGCACUAAAAUUGGCAUUCUAAGACCAUCGAUCACGAACUUUGCAUCCUCUGUUCGAUUUGAUUAAUCGAUUGAUUGAUUGAAAUCGAGACACUCACAAUUGUCAGCAUGUUUUUGAAAGAUGUUGGUGCCUUUUAAUUUGGUUUUAAUUUGUUUUAAUUUGUUUUUUAUUCGUUUACAACUUAAUUAUAAUUGGAUCUGAGGUCAUUCUGAGAUGGUAGCCUGUAACUCGAGUGUCUUGUCAAGGUGUUUCCACCAAAAUUCUGAACUCCAUGAGUAGGAUAUCGUCUGAGUCGUCUGACUUCCUUCAUGUAUUUAACAAUAUCAAACUCAUGGACCAGAUCUCUGAACAACAUCGCCAUCUAUAGUAUAGUAUAGGAGCUGAGGCCAAGCUUAAUAUGGCUACAAGAGGGGUGGAUUCUGAGCCAUCCAGCCAUGUUACUGGCUUCAGGGAUGGAAAGCUGUCCGCGCUAUAAAUGUUUAUAACAUGCGCCUCCAACACUUACAGCCAUGUCAUUAAGGAAAUCUUCAACAUCUGUUCAUCUCAACUUUACUAAUAUUGGUAACAAUUCCUGUAACGCGAUUAGACUUUGGAGGCCUCGAUGAUAAAAUGAUUUAAUGUUAUUCAAAAUCUACGAAAAUUGUGAGAAAAACAGAAUCGAGAUGCUGAUUUUCACAUUGAUUGCAGUUGUUACACAUCGUCGGACUACAAUGUAAGUCUUCUCAUCGCUCGUGUCUGUCUGAAUUAAUUCAAGUUGGGCAGCUAAAAUUCACCAACUAUUGAAGGCACUACCCGUUUGUAUCGCCGAGUUUCAACUCUGGAUAUCAACCACGUGUUCAGCCACCAUGCCAAAAGGAACCAUACGAUGAUGCAUCAUGUUUCGAAUGGAAUAAAUAUUCUUGCUGUGAAUUACGUCGAGUCAAUUCAUUGUUAUUUUCAAAUUAAAAAUUAAAAAUUCAAUUUUAUAACUA